GCCGGCUUAGCUCAGUUAAUAGAGCAACUGACUCGUAAUCAGUAGGUCACCAGUUCGACUCCGGUAGCCCGCACCA
rnacentral:tRNA from 1 species